CGUGUGUGAAGAAGGCCUUCGGGUUGUAAAGCACUUUUGUCCGGAAAGAAAUUGCUCUGGCUAAUACCUGGGGUAGAUGACGGUACCGGAAGAAUAAGCACCGGCUAACUACGUGCCAGCAGCCGCGGUAAUACGUAGGGUGCGAGCGUUAAUCGGAAUUACUGGGCGUAAAGCGUGCGCAGGCGGUUUUGUAAGACAGGCGUGAAAUCCCCGNGCUCAACCUGGGAAUUGCGCUUGUGACUGCAAGGCUAGAGUGNGUCAGAGGGGGGUAGAAUUCCACGUGUAGCAGUGAAAUGCGUAGAGAUGUGGAGGAAUACCGAUGGCGAAGGCAGCCCCCUGGGACGUGACUGACGCUCAUGCACGAAAGCGUGGGGAGCAAACAGGAUUAGAUACCCUGGUAGUCCACGCCCUAAACGAUGUCAACUAGUUGUUGGGGAUUCAUUUUCUCAGUAACGUAGCUAACGCGUGAAGUUGACCGCCUGGGGAGUACGGUCG
rnacentral:rRNA from 1 species